rnacentral:rRNA from 1 species
AGCCCGCUCAGAACUUAAAGGAAUUGACGGGGGCCCGCACAAGCGGCGGAGCAUGUGGAUUAAUUCGAUGCAACGCGAAGAACCUUACCUGGGUUUGACAUACACCGGAAAACCGUAGAGAUACGGUCCCCCUUGUGGUCGGUGUACAGGUGGUGCAUGGCUGUCGUCAGCUCGUGUCGUGAGAUGUUGGGUUAAGUCCCGCAACGAGCGCAACCCUUGUCUUAUGUUGCCAGCACGUGAUGGUGGGGACUCGUAAGAGACUGCCGGGGUCAACUCGGAGGAAGGUGGGGACGACGUCAAGUCAUCAUGCCCCUUAUGUCCAGGGCUUCACACAUGCUACAAUGGCCAGUACAGAGGGCUGCGAGACCGUGAGGUGGAGCGAAUCCCUUAAAGCUGGUCUCAGUUCGGAUCGGGGUCUGCAACUCGACCCCGUGAAGUCGGAGUCGCUAGUAAUCGCAGAUCAGCAACGCUGCGGUGAAUACGUUCCCGGGGCUU